rnacentral:misc_RNA from 1 species
UCCGGUUUGUCACCGGCAGUCUCCCUGGAGUGCUCUUGCGUAGCAACUAGGGACAAGGGUUGCGCUCGUUGCGGGACUUAACCCAACAUCUCACGACACGAGCUGACGACAGCCAUGCAGCACCUGUGUUAUGGCUCCCUUUCGGGCACCCCCACCUUUCAGCAGGGUUCCAUACAUGUCAAGGGUAGGUAAGGUUUUUCGCGUUGCAUCGAAUUAAUCCACAUCAUCCACCGCUUGUGCGGGUCCCCGUCAAUUCCUUUGAGUUUUAAUCUUGCGACCGUACUCCCCAGGCGGUCAACUUCACGCGUUAGCUUCGUUACUGAGUACUAAUGCACCCAACAACCAGUUGACAUCGUUUAGGGCGUGGACUAC